AGAAGAGCGCCUUCGCCCCUGUCGUGCGGCCACAGACCUCCCCGCCCCCCACCUGCACCACCACCAAUGGCAGCAGCCUACAGGCCAUGGCAGGUCUCAUAGUCCCACCUAUGUAAAGAAGACCUUCUGCCAGACAGACCACAUUUCCUCUGGCUCACAGAAUAUCUACAACAGAAGCUUAAAGCUCAUCAAUCUCCAAAACAGGACCAUGAAGCCCCUUCACUCCUGGAAACAGAGCAAACGGCACAACAAAGAAAAUUACAGUAACCGAUAACCCGUAAAAUGUCACUAGAGUAUGUUUGUGUUGGUUCAGUAAUUGAGUUCACCGUCACCUUCUGUGCUUUGCAUUUUGGGACUUUCCUUGCCCAAUGGAUAGCAUUCCAAACAUAUAUAUGUGUGAAGGGUUAGCUCAUCUGAAAAUAUUGCGAAUAAUAAACUGUGGAUUUGAAAGGCAGGUAGUUAAUCCUUGUGGUUUGAGUAUUGUACUGAGUCCUAAACAAGAAAAGUCAUUUGACUGGAUCUUCUAAUGAGCCGAGUUCCUUUUCAGUCAUAUAACCACUGUGAGCAGGGAACGUGGAAAGGCCUACAGUUCAAAACUGUCAGCUAUGGAUAAAGUGCAGAAUCCAAGAAUAUCAAACUCUCCGUCAAUUGUCAGACUCAAAAUAGGUGGGAGUUUCAAUGAAAAUUCCCCCCCAAUGUCUAUUAAAAAAAAACGCUUCAAAAGACCAUUGAUAUCUAAUGUCAAAGUCUAAUAGCAUUUUUGUUUGUGUACCAUAGCUUUUAAUAAUGUGUGUGUUUAUCAUAUUUAAAGGGAAAUGCAGUAAUUUUCUAAUCUAAAGAAAGGGUUGGCAAACAUUCUGCCAAGGAGAGAAAAGCAAAUGUUAUACUAAUAUUUGCCCACUACCAGAGUCAUGCCAGGGCAGCCCAAGGUUGUGAGGUUCAAAGGUUUUGGAUGUCUACCAUUUUUGAAACACAGUACAAAAGAUAUAUUUCCGGGGUGUGUUGAUUGAUAGAUUUUAACCAGAAAUGCUUGCAGCAGUUUUAAUCACAUUUAGGUACCAGAGUUCUUGUUAUUCUUCUGAUUGUGCUUAUUUUGUAUGUAUUUAUAAAGUAUGUUUUGGGAUUCCUUUUGUGAUUUUGGCCUGAAUGAUAGUCUCAAAUAUACAUGUAAACACAUUCGAUGUCUUAAUACCUUUUAGAUAUUGUAAAAAGAUUGAAAAAGGAGAUGAACAACCCUUUUUGUAAAAACAAAAAAAGUUGAAACAUGACAUGGUCACCCUGUCUUUUAAAGCAGGAUAUAUGCUCCACCACUUUUGUAUAAAAAUGCAUUUCCGAUACUAUAUUUAACUUUUUUUUGUACACAGCAUUUGUUUCCCCUCGUUCUUCUUGUCUUUUCUGUGUUACUGUGAAAUGUGUAUUAUCAUGGUUAUUUCUUAAUGCACUAUUUUAGUUGGGGCACUUACAAGAGUAAUGCAUCUUAGCAUGCAAGAAAAACUAAAAGCUAAAGACAAAAGCUGGUACAAAUAUUAACCAAGAUGUUUUUUGGGGGGGAUUCACAUUUUUGUCAUUGUGGCUGAAAUGGAAAGGUCAUUGUCAUGUGAAUGUCUCUAGUUCAAAACCUCUUCUAUCAUAAACCUCUGUUAGUUCAUUGGUUAGAAUUCAACUCCUUUCCCAUGUUAUUUGGACCCAAGCCUACUCCUUGUGUUUUGGUGAGAAUGAAUGUAAUACACAUGCCUGUACGAAUCAGCUGCGAAGUUGAAACCCAAGUAAACCUUCAAUAACUGUCGAAGGACCACUCAAGUGUAGGGUUCAACUCUCUCAAGGAACCUUGAUGUUAGUGUUUUGGUGGUGGUGGUGGUGUUAUUGCCGUUGCACACAAUCUAUCAUUUACUUAUGCAAUUUGUAUUUACUGUAAUGCAAGUUCUCUCUCCACAUUUCAGUGGAAUGGUUUUGAAACAUAAAAGAACACAAGACAUAAUUGAUGCCUUACAAUAGAACAUGAUCCAACUUAAUGCAUUUUCAUUAUUUUGAUACUCUAAUUGAAGUGUGGUUCAUUUGAGUUAUGCUUUUUCAGAUGUUUAAGAAUUAGUUAAAGUUGUCAUUAAUUUGAUGCUUUCGAUUAAUUUAAUAACACAGGCCCAUCAUUUGAGCUGCAGAGGAUGUAGAUUAAACUGGGAUAUGUUGGAGGGCACUUCCUUCUCCAAAUGUCCACAUAUCUUGUUUAAUAGUGGACAAUAGGUGACAAAUCAAUGAUGAGCCUGAUUAAAUCUUUGAUUGUAUGCAAAUUCUGUGCAGUGAUUUCCAUACGUUGGCAAUCAUUGGGCGGCAUCAACUUGUAGUCAUAAUGUGGGCUUGUAAAAAAAAGCAGAAAAAUCUGUUACGCUUUUUUGAAAGACAUUUUUCAAUGACGAGAUUGAAGGCCAGCUCAUAGAAUGUCUUUUAGAGUGCACUUGUACACUUCACAAAACAUCUGAAUUCAAUAUCAUGGAGUUCUAAACCUAUUUUCAAUGAAAACACAAGUUUUCUCUUCAAGUUAAAUCUUGGCCGACUUUUCACAAUCCUCCCCUUCACCCCCAUUUCCUGUAUCCAUUCCAUCCAUAUACUGAGUUUUAAAUAGCUUGAUUUAAAAAAUGUUUUGUCAUAGUUGUAGAAAGCUUGCUUUUUGCUGCCCUGGUUUUCAGCAGAGGUUUUUUAAAUUGUAAAGUGUACUUUCUCAAUGUUUAAUUCAAUGUGAAAAGGGGAGAGGUACUGCAUCUAUGUGAAAUAUGAAAUGUACCAUCAAAGUGUAUCAAAGCACAAUGUUUAAUUAAUGUCUUCAGAAUACAAAUGAGGGGGAUCUCUCCAGCUUCUCCUUUUCUGUCUUUGACCAUGCUGUAAAUAGAUGCAUGUUUCUUUCUGUGAUCCAGUAGUUUUUGUACAGAAACAGACUAAUAAAGAAUACAUUUGGCCUCAAACAAC